rnacentral:rRNA from 1 species
AGAUUCCUACGGGAGGCAGCAGGGGGGAAUUUUGGACAAUGGGCGCAAGCCUGAUCCAGCCAUGCCGCGUGAGUGAAGAAGGCCUUCGGGUUGUAAAGCUCUUUCGGCGGGGAAGAAAUGGCAACGGCUAAUAUCCGUUGUUGAUGACGGUACCCGCAUAAGAAGCACCGGCUAACUACGUGCCAGCAGCCGCGGUAAUACGUAGGGUGCGAGCGUUAAUCGGAAUUACUGGGCGUAAAGCGUGCGCAGGCGGUUGUGUAAGUCAGAUGUGAAAUCCCCGGGCUCAACCUGGGAACUGCAUUUGAGACUGCACGGCUAGAGUGUGACAGAGGGGGGUAGAAUUCCACGUGUAGCAGUGAAAUGCGUAGAGAUGUGGAGGAAUACCGAUGGCGAAGGCAGCCCCCUGGGUUACUACUGACGCUCAUGCACGAAAGCGUGGGGAGCAAACAGGAUUAGAUACCCUGGUAGUCCACGCCCUAAACGAUGUCAACUGGAUGUUGGGAGGGUUAAACCUCUUAGUGUCGUAGCUAACGCGUGAAGUUGACCGCCUGGGGAGUACGGCCGCAAGGCUAAAACUCAAAGGAAUUGACGGA